rnacentral:rRNA from 1 species
ACGGGAGGCAGCAGUGGGGAAUAUUGGGCAAUGGACGCAAGUCUGACCCAGCAACGCCGCGUGAAGGAAGAAGGCUUUCGGGUUGUAAACUUCUUUUGUCAGGGAAGAGUAGAAGACGGUACCUGACGAAUAAGCCACGGCUAACUACGUGCCAGCAGCCGCGGUAAUACGUAGGUGGCAGGCGUUGUCCGGAUUUACUGGGUGUAAAGGGCGUGUAGCCGGGUCGAUAGGUCAGAUGUGAAAUCCAUGGGCUCAACUCAUGAACUGCAUUUGAAACUGUUGAUCUUGAGUAUCGGAGAGGUAAUCGGAAUUCCUAGUGUAGCGGUGAAAUGCGUAGAUAUUAGGAAGAACACCGGUGGCGAAGGCGGCUUGCUGGACAGAGACUGACGCUGAGGCUCGAAAGCGUGGGGAGCAAACAGGAUUAGAUACCCUGGUA